rnacentral:rRNA from 1 species
AUUGAACGCUGGCGGCAGGCCUAAAACAUGCAAGUCGAACGAGUGGCGGACGGGUGAGUAAUGUCUGGGAAACUGCCCGAUGGAGGGGGAUAACUACUGGAAACGGUAGCUAAUACCGCAUACCAUCGGAUGUGCCCAGAUGGGAUUUGCUAGUAGGUGGGGUAACGGCUCACCUGGGCGACGAUCCCUAGCUGGUCUGAGAGAAUGACCAGCCACCCUGGAAGUGAAGCACGGUCCAGACUCCUACGGGUGGCAGCAGGGGGGAAUAGUGCACAGUGGGCUCAAGCCUGAUGCAGCCAGGCCGCGUGUAUGAAGAAGGCCUUCGGGUUGUAAAGUACUUUCAGCGAGGAGGCGUUACUCGAAGAAGGGGCACCGGGUAACUCCGUGCCAGCAGCCGCGGUAAUUC